AUUGAACGCUGGCGGCAGGCCUAACACAUACAAGUCGAACGAGUGGCGGACGGGUGAGUAAUGUCUGGGAAACUGCCUGAUGGAGGGGGAUAACUACUGGAAACGGUAGCUAAUACCGCAUACCAUCGGAUGUGCCCAGAUGGGAUUAGCUAGUAGGUGGGGUAAAGGCUCACCUAGGCGGCGAUCCCUAGCUGGUCUGAGGGGAUGACCAGCAACACUGGAACUGAGGGACGGUCCAGACUCAUACGGGCGGCAGCAGUGGGGAAUAUUGCACAAUGGGCGCAGGCCUGAUAGAGCCAUGCCGCGUGUAUGAAGGAGGCCUUCGGGUUAUGAAGUACUUACAGCGGGGAGGCGUUACCCGCAGAAGAAGCGCCGGCUAACUCCGUGCCAGCAGCCGCGGUAAUUC
rnacentral:rRNA from 1 species